AACAAACGCUGGUGGCGUGCCUAAUACAUGCAAGUCGAACGGGGAAAGCUUUCGGGUGAGUACUAGUGGCGCACGGGUGAGGAACGCGUGGAUAAUCUGCCUUAGAGUGGGGGAUAACUAGUCGAAAGAUUAGCUAAUACCGCAUAAGACCACGAGAGCUGCGGCUUUUGAGGUCAAAGGUUUUUCGCUCUAAGAUGAGUCCGCGUAAGAUUAGCUAGUUGGUGAGGUAACGGCUCACCAAGGCGACGAUCUUUAACUGGUCUGAGAGGAUGAUCAGUCACACUGGAACUGAGACACGGUCCAGACUCCUACGGGAGGCAGCAGUAGGGAAUAUUGCACAAUGGAGGAAACUCUGAUGCAGCGACGCCGCGUGAGUGAUGAAGGCCUUCGGGUCGUAAAGCUCUGUCGCAGGGGAAUAACACAAUGAAGGUACCCUGUAAGAAAGGAUCGGCUAACUUCGUG
rnacentral:rRNA from 1 species